rnacentral:rRNA from 1 species
GGGUCAGUAGGUUGGUCGUGCCACCGGUACGUACUGGUCUCACUGAUUCCUCCUUCCUGAAGAACCGUAAUGCCGUUAAUUUGGUGUUGCGGGGAACCAGGACUGUUACUUUGAAAAAAUUAGAGUGUUUAAAGCAAGCUAACGCUUGAAUACAUUAGCAUGGAAUAAUGAAAUAGGACGAUCGAUCCUAUUUUGUUGGUCUCUAGGAUUGGCGUA